rnacentral:rRNA from 1 species
AGCAUCUAAGCGUGAAGCCCCCCUCAAGAUGAGAUUUCCCAUUUCUUCGGAAAGUAAGAUCCCUGAAAGAUGAUCAGGUAGAUAGGUUUGGAGUGGAAGUGUAGCGAUACAUGGAGCGGACAAAUACUAAUCGAUCGAGGACUUAACCAA